rnacentral:lncRNA from 1 species
CAUUGUUAUUGUUUUAUGAUAAUUUUUGUAUUCUUGUCUUUCAUUUUUGAUAAUGUGAUUGGUCUACAUGCAUUUUUGUGUUUCUUUGAUACAUAUGACGUGGCUCCUGUCAUUGUGUAAUUGUGCUAUACUUCAUUUUUAUUCGUCUUAAAUUUUGCUAAUGUGCUUUUGUGUGCCUCUUUGUUGGAUAUUUGUUUGUUUUUAUAGUGAUUGGAUUAUAACACAAUGUUGACUGCUGUACCCCUAUUUUGACAUUUUUAUUUUAUGUUUGUUUGUCUUGUUCUUACAUAGUUGUACAUAUAAUAGAAUUUGAUGCAACUGUCUUAUAAACCAGAGAUUAAGCUAGCUAUAAACCCAGCUUCAAUCUACUAUUUUCUACAUAAAAAAAAAUGCC